CCUGACAUGUUAUUCCCAUAGAAAACCUAAUUAAAAAUAACCCGAAUUUGUGGUGGAAUAAUUAUUUGAGAAGAUGUCAAAUAUGUUCUAGCUUGUUUAUGAAGCUUUUUUUAAUUUAUUUUUUAAA